UUUACCGAAUCCACGGACUCAAAUCUCUCUUUUAUCUUCUCCGGAUCUCGUGCACACUAACGGGUUGUCCACGUCCCACGUCCGAAUCCGCGAACGCCACGCCCUGAAUCCACGAAACGUCCACACUUCGAAUCCACGAAGCCUUGAUCACGCCGAAUCCACGACGCCCACUCGAAUCCACGAGCACACUCCGUCCGGA
rnacentral:lncRNA from 1 species